AUACAGAGGUUGCGAGCGUUAAUCGGAAUUACUGGGCGUAAAGGGCGCGUAGGUGGUUAGGUCAGUCGGAUGUGAAAGCCCCGGGCUCAACUCGGGAAUUGCAUUCGAUACUGCCUGGCUUGAGUAUGGUAGAGGGAAGUGGAAUUCCGGGUGUAGCGGUGAAAUGCGUAGAUAUCCGGAGGAACACCAGUGGCGAAGGCGGCUUCCUGGACCAAUACUGACACUGAGGCGCGAAAGCGUGGGGAGCAAACAGGAUUAGAAACCCCGGUAGUCC
rnacentral:rRNA from 1 species